rnacentral:rRNA from 1 species
GAUCCUGGCUCAGGAUGAACGCUGGCGGCGUGCUUAACACAUGCAAGUCGAACGAAGCACUUUUACAGAUUUCUUCGGAAUGAAGUUUUAGCGACUGAGUGGCGGACGGGUGAGUAACGCGUGGGUAACCUGCCUCACACAGGGGGAUAACAGUUGGAAACGGCUGCUAAUACCGCAUAAGCGCACGGUACCGCAUGGUACAGUGUGAAAAACUCCGGUGGUGUGAGAUGGACCCGCGUCUGAUUAG